rnacentral:rRNA from 1 species
GACGAACGCUGGCGGCGUGCUUAACACAUGCAAGUCGAACGGAAAGGCCUGCUUUCCCUUGUGGAUUGCGGGUACUCGAGUGGCGAACGGGUGAGUAACACGUGAGUGAUCUGCCCCCAACUUGGGUAUAAGCCUGGGAAACUGGGUCUAAUUCCCGAUAGGACUGCAGGGUGGUGCCUGUGGUGGAAAACGAUUUUCUAGUGGUUGGGGAUGAGCUCGCGGCCUAUCAGCUUGUUGGUGGGGUAAUGGCCUACCAAGGCGGCGACGGGUAGCCGGCCUGGGAGGGUGGACGGGCACAUUGGGACUGAGAUACGGCCCAGAAUACUACGGGAGGCAGCAGUGGGGAAUAUUGCACAAUGGGCGGAAGCCUGAUGCAGCGACGCCGCGUGGGGGAUGACGGCCUUCGGGUUGUAAACUCCUUUCGACCGCGAGGAAGCCACCUGGUUGGAAGGGUGGUGACGGUAGUGGUAGAAGAAGCACCGGCUAACUACGUG